GCUUGUCUCAAAGAUUAAGCCAUGCAUGUGUAAGAAUAAACCCCAGAAUGGUGAAUCUGCGAAUGGCUCAUUAAAACAGUUAUUGUUUAUUUGAUGGUACUUACUACAUGGAUAACCGUAGUAAUUCUAGAGCUAAUACAUGCGUCAAGCCCUGACUUCGGAAGGGGUGCAUUUAUUAGAUACAAACCAUCGGUCUUCGGGCCUUUGAUGGUGAGUCAUAAUAACUGAGCGAAUCGAAUGGCCUUGUGCUGUCGAUGCUUCAUUCAAAUUUCUGCCCUAUCAGCUUUCGAUGGUAGGAUCUUGGCCUACCAUGGCUAUAACGGGUAACGGGGAAUUAGGGUUCGGUUCCGGAGAGGGAGCUUGAGAAACGGCUACCACAUCCAAGGAAGGCAGCAGG
rnacentral:rRNA from 1 species